rnacentral:lncRNA from 1 species
GGACCACACCUGUGGCAUGUGGAGGUUCCCAGGCUAAGGGGCUAAUGGAAGCUACAGCUGCCGGCCUACGCCAGUCACAGCAAUGCAGGAUCCGAGCCACGUCUGCAACCUACACCACAGCAUGCAGCAACACCGGAUCCUUAACCCACUGAGGGAGACCAGGAAUCGAACCCACAACCUCAUGGAUACUAGUCAGAUUCAUUUCUGCUGCGCCACGAGAACUCCAUUUCGGAGAUUUUUAAAUGUAGAAAAGUGUCCAUAUUAGAAUUGAUGAAGUAUAGUAGAUGUUUAGCUUAGACAUCUUUGAACUCCACAUCUGUGAGGUCACUUGAAUUUUUCACAGGCUCCUUAAACCCGAUGUGUCCCACGGCGGCAUACUCUUCAUUACUCUUGACAAAGUUAUUCGUUUUCCUGCCUUCUCUACUUUGGCAAAUGGAGCUACCCAAAGUAGAAAUAUGGAAGUCAUACUAGACUCCUGGCCUUCUAUUACUUUCCACACACAAAAGGUGUGUGUGGAAUUUCCCAUUCAGUCAGUUCUGUCUGGUACAUCUUUUUGCAGUGCGCUAUCUUCUCUCUUUUUCCUCCACCAUGGCUUUGAGUUACCUGUCAUUCAUCUCUGCUAGAUUAACAUCGUACUCUAAUUGUUUUCCAUCCCUCUAAUCAAUUUCUACUCCACACUAUCCUUAUUUUCUUUCUUAAAUAUCAAUCUGAUCAUAAUUACUCCUUGCUUAAAAAUCCUACAAGAUGGGGAGUUCACACUGUGGCUCAGUGGGUUAAGAACCUGACAUAGUGUCCCUGAGGAUUCAGGUUCCAUCCCUGGCCUCAUUCAGUGGGUUAAGGAUCCACUGUUGCUGUAAGCCUGCGUUGCUGUGGCUGUGGUGCAGGUCAGCAGCUGCAGCUCUGAUUUGACCCACAGCCUGGGCAUUUCCAUUUGCCGUAGGUGCAGCUGUAAAAAGAAAAAAAAAAAAAUGGACAAAAAGAAAAACCCUAACAAAAUGAACAUGUGAUAAGCUGUUCACCCUCAUUAUGAAAUAAAUGUAACAGUGACAUUUUAUCACCUAUCCAAUGGGCAGAGUUUGAGAGAACUGAUAAUAACAAAUGAUUACAAGAGUGUUUAGAAAUACUCCUAUAUACCACUGCUGGUGGUAACAAUACCUUGGAUGACAUUUAGGCAGUGUUUUAGAUACGUGAAGGAAUGCAAACUGCCUGUUAAAAAGCAAACCUCAACCCUGAAGAUCUAAUUGGCAUUAUUAAACAAGUCAUGAAUCGAGCAGCAUCCUAUCUAGUAAAGAGAAGGGCACCCUGAAGGACUGUACAAAAUGGAAGCUUUUUCUAGGAAGAAGGUAAGGGAGCUACUAGUAAAAGAAAAGAAAGGCUUAUUUUUAGGCCCAGGUUAAAGGCAAGGGUUUUAUCAUGCAUAUUGCCCCUUCUAGGGGGCGUGCUGGAGAGGGGAGAGGUGGCAAGGGCCCAAGUGACACAUUACCUCAUUGGUGCUGACCAGAAGAUUCCAGACUAGCCAAUGAAGAUUACAUUUCUCAGAGUUCCUGUUGUGGCACAGAGGAAACGAACUGGACUGGUAUCCAUGAGGACGUGGGCUUGAUCCCUGAUGUCGCUCAGUGGGUCAAGGAUCCGGCGUUGUCGUGAGCUGUGGUAUAGGUCACAGAAUGGCUCAGAUUCCCCAUUGCUGUGGCUGUGGUGUAGGCUGGCAGCUGUAGCUCCGAUUCGACCCCUGGCCUGGGACCUUCCAUAUGCUGCAGGUGCCAACAGCUACCCUAAUGGUCUCAAGGAAGUGAGAUAAUUUAGGAGAAAGUCAUAAUAGCUACCAUUUUACUGGAUAUUUGCUGUUCCAAGUGUUUUAUAUGUGUUAACUUAUUUAACCUUCACAAUAAAGCUUUAAGCACUACCCCCACUAUACAUACAAGAAAACCGAGGCACAGAGGAUAAGAUACUGUCCAAGGGGUGAAGUCAGUAAGCAGUGGAGCUGGAAUUACAGUCUACGUAAGGGGAUCUAGCUCCAGUUCUAUUUUUUGGCAUCCAGCCUAUGCCCAUCUUUGCUUUUUGUCAUAGCCCACAGCACUCAGAGGCAAAACCUGUUUAUACAAAAUUCGUUAGUUUCAUCAACUGCCUUCUUUAGUUGCUUUGGGUAUUUCAUCACAGUUUUGUCUGAGAACUCAGCCACUUCUCACACCAACUCAUCUUCAGUGUCCUGGUCAACGCUGGGCACCAGGUAAAUCCUUAGAUAAACGCUAUCGUACAUUUCUGUGGGAUGGAAGGCACAGCUUUACAAAUGUGCAAUAAUUUUCACGGGACUGAGCCAGAUACACGAUAACUAACUUACAUACAGGGUAAGUACCUCCUUGACCGUGACAGCUGCACUCCACGCGCGAGCUCU